AAUUUAGGCAUUCUCCAAACAUUCAAUACUGAAACCUCACAUAUGCUCUUUAUACGGAAAGUGCAAUCAAUCAUCAGUCAGUUGAAAAUCUUCUCCAAAAUUACGAAUACCUUUCCAUUAUUAUCACUUAUAUACUCUCUAUGUUUAACUAGAGGAUUCAAACGCGAAUUGUCUUCUCCGUAUUCAUCUUUUUUUCAUCAUUCUGCAAAUCUGAAUCAUCGGUGAGUGCUGUCAAGCAAUUGCUUCUUAUAUUAUCUAUUAUCUUGACGUUGAAGUUUAAUCCGUUAAUUGGUGGUAAGUUAAUGAAUCCUUAAAACCCUAAUUUCAAUUUCAUACAUCUCUGCAUGUCCAUCGCUGUAUUUCUCAUAAACCCUAAAUCAAGGGUUUCUCUGUGACCCUGACGGCUGCGGGUGUAGGUUCCGCUGGUGAUGUGAUGACGAUUUUGAUGGUUCAACAUGUAUGAAAGAAGAAGAAAGCAAUAUAGUUUCCAGCGGAGAAAGGAGAAGUAAUCAUCUUGUGGUUUUUGCAGAGAAGGAGAACGAAAGCUUUAGGGCUACAAAGGAACACGCUUCGUUUCUCCGUCAAGUUCAAAAGGUUUCUGGAUAAAAUACAAUAACGAAAUUGAAACAGAUUAGUACUCACUGUUGGGUUGUGUUAGAGACAUUGCAGCAACCUAAGACCUCUUUUAUAGCAUUGUUUUGGGUUAGGGUUUAUGAGUGAACCUCAUUUUGUUGCAUUUUUUCUCUUGACAAUGGUAUGGAUUUGAAGUUGCUUUAUCAUGUACAAGUUAUGAUAUAGUUUGCCGAUCAUCUAUGAACAACCAAAAAAUCAUAAGGUAUCAAAUAUUGAAGCUGUUUGAGGUGGAGAUUUUAAAAUAGUGAACUAUUGAUUUCUAAUUGGAUAGCUUUAAAGGGAAAGGUAAAUCUUAUGAAAGAGCCUGAAUCAAAGCAACAUCACCAACGCCUUCUAGCUCGGAAGGAGGCAUAGGUUUUGUCCCAAGCAUACAGAACUGCUACGCCUUGAAGAACAAGGCAGACAACAAGGCAUAGGUUUAUGGGACAGGGUUAGUUACUGUUACUUAACCCAACUGAUUACUAUUUUCUUUGUUAAUGAAAUCACAUUAUAUUGAAUGCUUGUGUUUGAUAUGGUAUGUUUACCAUGCUUUCGAUUGGAUUGGAUAUUAAAUUAAGAAAACAUUGGAUUAUCACGAGCAAGCAUGGCUAUUGAUUCUUUAAACCAUUAUUUUAUGAUUUUGUCAUCGGUAAGGUACGAUUCUUUCCGUUGAUUCUAUCAUGUUGAUCUUCUCGUAGAAAUGGCAGAGUCGACGAAGACAAAAAGGUACGAAUCUGGAAUACUAAAAUCUAUUGCAUUCAAAAUGCAACUGCAAUUAUGCUUCUUUUGAGUCUAUACGUGCCAAGUACCUUUAGAGCAGAAACUAAAUUGUGUGUAUAUUCAGUGAAACGCCUUAUAUGAUGAGGUAAAAAAGAAACUAAAUUCAUUGCUGAAGUGGUGUUGAUGUGAAUAAAUGGGGUUCACAUGUUGGAAAAUGCAGAGUCGAUGAAGAAAACAACACCAUCUUUAUGCUUUUCCUCUUUUACUUCCUAAUGAGUACUUGAUCCCAAUCGAAUCGUAAGAGAUUAGGAUGAAGCUGAAAAAGAUAAUCUAAACAUGGUAGCAUGUGCUCAAAAAGCACUUGCAUACGAAGAAAGAUAGAUGUAAAAGAUGGUGCAAGAGUCGAAGAGGCUUAAAAGAGAAGCCAUGAAGAAUUCAAAGCUGCAAAGGAUUAUGUAGGGGCAAUUUCGAAAUCAAGAUUUGUACUUAAAGAAAACGAGGAUAAUCUAGACGUGUUGUUGCUGCUUCGUUGUUGUGCCUACCAUCAUUUAGUCGAUCAUCAUGU